UACGAGGGGGGCAAGCGUUGUUCGGAAUUAUUGGGCGUAAAGAGCUCGUAGGCGGUUUGUCGCGUCUGCUGUGAAAACCCGAGGCUCAACCUCGGGCCUGCAGUGGGUACGGGCAGACUAGAGUGCGGUAGGGGAGAUUGGAAUUCCUGGUGUAGCGGUGGAAUGCGCAGAUAGUCAGGAGGAACACCAAUGGCGAAGGCAGAUCUCUGGGCCGUAACUGACGCUGAGGAGCGAAAGCAUGGGGAGCGAACAGG
rnacentral:rRNA from 1 species